CCAGACUCCUACUUUAUUCAUCAUUUUGGAAUUUUUUACAAUUUUCUCAAUCCUUAUCCAUCUAUUCCUCGUUUUGUAUUACUGCCCUCGUGUUUUAAACCACUUUAGUAUAGAACGAAAAUGAUCUAUCUAAUAAAUAGCUCUGCUGACGGUACUCUAAGAAUAAGCACCGGCUAACUACGUGCCAGCAUCCGCGGUAAUACGUAGGGUGCGAGCGUUAAUCGGAAUUACUGGGCGUAAAGGGUGUGCGGGCGGCUGAGUAAGACAGAUGUGAAAUCCCCGGGCUUAACCUGGGAACCGCAUAUGUGACUGCUUGGCUAGAGUGCGUCAGAGGGAGGUGGAAUUCCACGUGUAGCAGUGAAAUGCGUAGAUAUGUGGAAGAACACCGAUGGAGAAGGAAGCCUACUGGGACGCAACUGACGCUCAUAAAAGAAAGAGUGGGGAGCAAACAGGAUUAGAUACCCGAGUAU
rnacentral:rRNA from 1 species